rnacentral:rRNA from 1 species
AUUGAACGCUGGCGGCAUGCCUUACACAUGCAAGUCGAACGGUAACGGGUCCUUCGGGAUGCCGACGAGUGGCGAACGGGUGAGUAAUAUAUCGGAACGUGCCCAGUAGUGGGGGAUAACUGCUCGAAAGAGCAGCUAAUACCGCAUACGACCUGAGGGUGAAAGGGGGGGAUCGCAAGACCUCUCGCUAUUGGAGCGGCCGAUAUCAGAUUAGCUAGUUGGUGGGGUAAAGGCCUACCAAGGCAACGAUCUGUAGUUGGUCUGAGAGGACGACCAGCCACACUGGGACUGAGACACGGCCCAGACUCCUACGGGAGGCAGCAGAGGGGAAUUUUGGACAAUGGGCGCAAGCCUGAUCCAGCAAUGCCGCGUGCAGGAAGAAGGCCUUCGGGUUGUAAACUGCUUUUGUCAGGGAAGAAAUCUUCUGGGCUAAUACCCCGGGAGGAUGACGGUACCUGAAGAAUAAGCACCGGCUAACUACGUGCCAGCAGCCGCGGUAAUACGUAGGGUGCGAGCGUUAAUCGGAAUUACUGGGCGUAAAGCGUGCGCAGGCGGCUUUGCAAGACAGAUGUGAAAUCCCCGGGCUCAACCUGGGAACUGCAUUUGUGACUGCAAGGCUAGAGUACGGCAGAGGGGGAUGGAAUUCCGCGUGUAGCAGUGAAAUGCGUAGAUAUGCGGAGGAACACCAAUGGCGAAGGCAAUCCCCUGGGCCUGUACUGACGCUCAUGCACGAAAGCGUGGGGAGCAAACAGGAUUAGAUACCCUGGUAGUCCACGCCCUAAACGAUGUCAACUGGUUGUUGGACGGCUUGCUGUUCAGUAACGAAGCUAACGCGUGAAGUUGACCGCCUGGGGAGUACGGCCGCAAGGUUGAAACCCAAAGGAAUUGACGGGGACCCGCACAAGCGGUGGAUGAAGUGGUUUAAUUCGAUGCAACGCGAAAAACCUUACCUACCCUUGACAUGUCAAGAAUUCUGCAGAGAUGUGGAAGUGCUCGAAAGAGAACUUGAACACAGGUGCUGCAUGGCCGUCGUCAGCUCGUGUCGUGAGAUGUUGGGUUAAGUCCCGCAACGAGCGCAACCCUUGUCAUUAGUUGCUACGCAAGAGCACUCUAAUGAGACUGCCGGUGACAAACCGGAGGAAGGUGGGGAUGACGUCGGGUCCUCAUGGCCCUUGUGGGUAGGGCUACACACGUCAUACAAUGGCCGGUACAGAGGGCUGCCAACCCGCGAGGGGGAGCCAAUCCCAGAAAACCGGUCGUAGUCCGGAUCGUAGUCUGCAACUCGACUGCGUGAAGUCGGAAUCGCUAGUAAUCGCGGAUCAGCUUGCCGCGGUGAAUACGUUCCCGGGUCU